rnacentral:rRNA from 1 species
GAUCCUGGCUCAGAUUGAACGCUGGCGGCAGGCUUAACACAUGCAAGUCGAACGGUAGCAGGAGGAAGCUUGCUUUCUUGCUGACGAGUGGCGGACGGGUGAGUAAUGCUUGGGAAUCUGGCUUAUGGAGGGGGAUAACUACGGGAAACUGUAGCUAAUACCGCGUAAUAUCGAAAGAUUAAAGUGUGGGACCUUCGGGCCACAUGCCAUAAGAUGAGCCCAAGUGGGAUUAGGUAGUUGGUGAGGUAAAGGCUCACCAAGCCUGCGAUCUCUAGCUGGUCUGAGAGGAUGGCCAGCCACACUGGAACUGAGACACGGUCCAGACUCCUACGGGAGGCAGCAGUGGGGAAUAUUGCGCAAUGGGGGGAACCCUGACGCAGCCAUGCCGCGUGAAUGAAGAAGGCCUUCGGGUUGUAAAGUUCUUUCGGUAUUGAGGAAGGGAUGUGUGCUAAUAGUACACGUCAUUGACGUUAAAUACAGAAGAAGCACCGGCUAACUCCGUGCCAGC